AUGGGCGAAAGCCUGACGCAGCGACGCCGCGUGGGGGAUGAAGGUCUUCGGAUUGUAAACCCCUUUCGGGAGGGAAGAUGGGAUGGGGUAACCCAUUCGGACGGUACCUCCAGAAGCAGCCACGGCUAACUUCGUGCCAGCAGCCGCGGUAAUACGAAGGUGGCAAGCGUUGUUCGGAUUUACUGGGCGUACAGGGAGCGUAGGCGGUUGGAUAAGCCCUCCGUGAAAUCUCCAGGCUUAACCUGGAAAGUGCAGAGGGGACUGUUCAGCUAGAGGAUGGGAGAGGAGCGCGGAAUUCCCGGUGUAGCGGUGAAAUGCGUAGAGAUCGGGAGGAAGGCCGGUGGCGAAGGCGGCGCUCUGGAACAUUUCUGACGCUGAGGCUCGAAAGCGUGGGGAGCGAACAGGAUUAGAUACCCUGGUAGUCCACGCCUUAAACGAUGGAUACUAAGUGUCGGCGGGUUACCGCCGGUGCCGCAGCUAACGCAGUAAGUAUCCCGCCUGGGAAGUACG
rnacentral:rRNA from 1 species